UGGGGAAUUUUGGACAAUGGGGGCAACCCUGAUCCAGCCAUGCCGCGUGAGUGAAGAAGGCCUUCGGGUUGUAAAGCUCUUUCGCGAGGGAAGAAAACGUACAGGCUAAUACCCUGUGCGGAUGACGGUACCUUGAUAAGAAGCACCGGCUAACUACGUGCCAGCAGCCGCGGUAAUACGUAGGGUGCGAGCGUUAAUCGGAAUUACUGGGCGUAAAGCGUGCGCAGGCGGUUUUGUAAGACAGGCGUGAAAUCCCCGGGCUUAACCUGGGAAUGGCGCUUGUGACUGCAAGGCUAGAGUAUGGCAGAGGGGGGUGGAAUUCCACGUGUAGCAGUGAAAUGCGUAGAGAUGUGGAGGAACACCGAUGGCGAAGGCAGCCCCCUGGGCCAAUACUGACGCUCAUGCACGAAAGCGUGGGGAGCAAACAGG
rnacentral:rRNA from 1 species